rnacentral:rRNA from 1 species
GACGAACGCUGGCGGCGUGCUUAACACAUGCAAGUCGAGCGCGAACUAGAGGUUGGAAGUUAGAGGUUAGAAGUUAGAAGAGGUAGGAAUUGGCCCGCGGCCAAUUCCAUCGACCAGUUCUAAUUUCUAAUUUCCAACUUCCAACCUCUAGGGAGAGCGGCGGACGGGUGAGUAACGCGUGGGUAACCUGCCCGUAAAUCUGGGAUAACAGCGGGAAACCGUUGCUAAUACCGGAUACACCCAUAGGCUCCCAAGGGCUUAUGGGGAAAGGCCCUUAUGGGUCGUUUACGGAUGGGCCCGCGUCCCAUUAGCUAGUUGGUAGGGUAACGGCCUACCAAGGCGACGAUGGGUAGCCGGCCUGAGAGGGUGGUCGGCCACACUGGAAUUGAGACACGGUCCAGACUCCUACGGGAGGCAGCAGUGGGGAAUAUUGCGCAAUGGGCGGAAGCCUGACGCAGCAACGCCGCGUGUGGGAAGAAGGUCUUCGGAUUGUAAACCACUGUCUAGGGGGACGAAGGACUGGGGGAGGCAAUGCCCCCGGGGUGACGGUACCCCUGGAGGAAGCCCCGG